rfam:Actinopolyspora erythraea strain YIM90600 genomic scaffold Scaffold2, whole genome shotgun sequence.
GCCGGUCCUCGGUAGUGGCCUCAGGGGGUGUCGGAACGAACAUCCCCUGGGCUUCGAUCGAUGACCGGC